rnacentral:misc_RNA from 1 species
CCAAAACCCAGAGUUCUGGUUGCUGUGGUAACUGAUGAAGCUUAUGGUAUAUUUUUUCUGCAAAAUAUUUCUAAUUUUUAUAGUUUUUGGAAAAUAUGGCAAAAGCUUUUUUCUUUACUCUAGAGCACUCUUUCUCCAAUCAGGACUACAUACUUGUCAUUGAUCGUUGGAGAAUAAAUGUACAUUGGUCAUAAUGUUUAUGAGGAGAGAGAAUGUGCAAUAGGGCAUAAAACACUCUUUGUAAUUCUAUAUUAUAUCACUGAAAGUCAAUGCUAAGCAUUAUGUUCAACACUCUUUUGUAAAACAAUACUUGUAAAUUUAUACAAUAUCAAAGGGGAAUAAAAUGUGAUGUUAUUUUAAUUAUUCCAUUGAACAGUCUUUUGUAAACAUUCACUCUGUGUUUUUAACGAGUAAUCAUGUAAUAAUUUUGAAGAGUUGUGAUUAAUAAGUGAUCGCAAUACUUGAAUGUGAAGUGUUAUGUUUUAUUUAGAACAAUAAAUAUAUGUUCAUAUU